GUGUGUGUGUGUGUGUGUGUGUGUGAGAGAGAGAGAGAUAGAGAGAGAGAUAGACUCUUGAGUGAGUGUGUAUUGGUGCAAUACUCUAGGACAGCAAAGACCGCUUAACCUCGUAACCGUGAAUUAUUUGACUGAACAUAGAUAUGAAUGCUUCGUUUUGCAGACGUUUUUAGUUCUAUAUCCCGAGGCUUCGCCAUCCCAGCAACCAAAUGAUAAGACCACUGUUUGACACAGUUGGAAGUGCCAGCUAUAUGACCUGAACCUAAGAUUCUGAAUUGUUCCUCAGCUAUGUGUCCCAUUGUGCCAAGACGUACUCAAGAGUUAGAAGAACAUCUUGUACAUUAUGUGGGAUGUGGUCUGCAGAGUACAUGAAGGAUACUGUGCUCAACUUGUUGACGAGGGUGGAUGCCAAAAAAGAGUUGCGGACAGCUCAGCAUGCUGAAGAUAGACCUCAGUGCACCAGUUGCAGAUGUGAUUAUGGAAGACACACCGGAAUCAGUCUGAAUAGUUAUGUAUUCAGCGUAGGAUAAUUACUGACUCUGCACACACCACUCGGAUUGCAAAACUCAAUGUGUGUGCCCAACACAACUUAAAUGUGAAAAAGUACUUCAUGACUAUGUUUCCAAAAACCCUCAGCAAAUGCCAUAUUAUGACUCAGGGAACGUAAGCUACCUCCAAUGGAUAUCUGCAGAAUCCAUAAAAUUACUGAAAAAUAAAAACAGAAUACAACCACCAGUGAAUGAAAUACAGCAUGCUGCUGUAUUGCAAGCUAUACAGGAAGAUAUAGCAAUGUGUCUCAGAAGGCAGCCAGUUAGACACAGAGCCAGACUACAAGUAAGCCAAAUGUCAGAGCUGGAAAUAAUUGACAGGUAUUGCUUAGACAGACAGCUGGUACAGGCUGUGUGUACCAUGUGCACCAAUCAUAAGUCUAUGUGUAUAAUGCAAGGUAAACCUACACCUGUCAAAACCAAAGUUUGUCUGAACUUAGGUAUACUGUUGUCCAGGACAUUCCAAUGACAUAUGGGAGAUGUAGAAGUAUUCCAGGUUACUUUCAGACACAUGCUCUCAUAAUUUCUGGCAGCAAAGUAGAUGAAUAUAUUCACUUCCCAUCUACAGUCAUGGAAUAGCAAAAUGCUAUGCACCAGUUUUACAACAUUGCCAACUUCCCCCAUGUCCUCAGUGCAAAAGACUACAGCCACAUUCCUAUAAACCCCCAUAUGGAACCCGAAGGAGAAAGGUCCAUAAAUAGAAAGGGGUGGCCAUUUCUGAACUGUCAGUUGGUGUGCUCAGUGGAUGGGAGAAUAAUGCAUAUCAUGGCAUCACAUCCUGGUAGUGUUCACGAUGCAGGUAUAUGGAGAAAAAGUGGUCUGUGGGCUGCUUUUCAUCAUGGCAGAAUACAUGAGGGACUAUGACUGGGAAAGAACAGAGACACAGGUAGAAUGUAAGUAGAAUGCACCUCUGUCAACAGUAUGCAUGAUGACAACAUAUGUUUCUUCCCCCCACCAACAUGUGACUGUGGUUAUCCACUUGAGCCAUGGCUAAUGACACCAAACACAGCACCAUGUGGCCCCAUUGAGAAGGCAUACAAUACCAUUUGGCCCUGUUGAGGAGGCAUACAAUAGAGCACACACACUGCAACAGGAAAUACCAAUGUGUUUGGUGUGCUGAGAUCCAGAUUCAGAUGUCCUGACACAUGCGAGAGUGCACUGCAAUACAUACCUGAAAAGGUAGCAAAGAUGAUUACUGUGUGUCAUGCUUCACAACAUGUUAGCAACCACACAUGGUUGUUUGCCUGCUGCAGGUAUGGGUGACCUUUCCCAAGAACGCCAGAUGUCUGAAGAUAACAUGUCACAGCCGUCAGAAGAGGAUCAGGAGGACACUGGGAGGAAGAAGAAGCAGGCAUGGGCAACAUGGCAGCAUGUGACACACACCUUUGAGUCAUGGCAAGCCAGAAGUACAGAAGUACUCAGAGUAAACAUCGAUGUUCGUGUGUUGCCCCACAACAACAGAACUGAUUGCAUCUAAUGGAAAUGACCCACUAGAUGUACACAUUGAGCAGCAUGCAUAACAUAAUCAUAUAACAUUAAGAACAUAUACAGAACAAUAAUAAAAGGGAACAUCAAAUCAGGUCACAAUUGACAAAGAUGUACAUACAGAGUUAUAGUGGUGCAUAUGUGAAUGGCAGACAAAAAAAGAAAGUUGUAAUGCAAACCCCAUAUCUGGCAGUUCACUAUCAAAUCAUGUAAACAUGAUUGCAAGUCAUCACAUGUUGUAUUACUGUCAUCGGUAUCACUAUUAAGAUAUGUCAGUGUAAAAGAGGGAAUGAUUAUCAACAAAGGAAUGUAGUCACCUAGGUCAGUAUAAAUAACAGACUCAUGUGGCAUCAAAUCUCACAACAACCACACAUAGAUGAUAUUGUCAGUGGUUUGCACAGUGUUCAUCAUUGCCAUGGGGUCAGAAUGACACUACAGAGUGCACAUUGGAUCAGCUGUCAGUGUUACUGUAAUGCAGCCUGGGACACCCAUGCAGGUGGCUCACACCAUGGUCCUGGCUGCUCCUGCCAUGUCCAGAAACACUUGGCCUAUGUUGCUCAACUGAGGUGCUUGAUAUGGUGGCAUCAGCAUGUGGAGACACACUGUGGGAAGGAACAUGACUACUGGUUGACUGUACGGUCAUGACUACUGGGCUCACAGUGGAUUGGCCAAUAACAAAUGUGUGUGUGCAUAUUGCAGUAUAGACACCGAUGUCUGAUGGGCAAGUGUGGGUCUAAUGAGAGGUGACCUGCUUCUCCCAUGUGGUAGUUGACUAAGCACAGUCAGGGCAUGUAACACCCUGCUAGUACUGUGGCACUGCCUUAGAAGUGCGGUAACCAGGCUUUCAAUGGAGAGUGCCCCAGAUAACAUACUGUCACACUGUGCAGGCAAUGUUGCCAUGACCUCACAGUGUCUGAUCUCCUAACCUUCAUGCAACACACACACAGCUGCUGUGCAACAUGAUCUGAUGCACAGACAAGUGCACAAAUGUCAGAUCCAUGAUGUCUAUGGGAACAUUCAUUCACCUGUGGGAGAAGGUGGACACCCUCUAACAUGGGCCACUCUCACUUGUGCUGUGCUGGGUAGUAUUGCUCUGGCAUGGGGAAGAGUCAACAUCAACAACCGACUGAACAUGGAACAGUGGUGCACAUGCACCAUUUGGCCAACAUCUGAUCUCCCCCAUCAUCAGAAUGGCUAGACAUAAUUUCUCCAUGUCAGAGGCUACAGCUUGAUCAAUAUAGCUGUCAUCACCAGGGCCAUACUGUAUCACUAAAUCUGUGUCCUGUGUGCCACAGGCUACUGUAGCAUUGUGAGAAAUAUAACAUCCCACUGGGAGGCUCAGGGGAUGGGCUGCUGGAGGAGGCAGGCAAUGGACAUGCUACAAGAAGUGACAAAGGACACAGGUCAGAUACAUUGACAGAAAUUACAGGUUGUAGCUCAAUGUGGACAUAUGGGCCAACUAUAUGACUAUAAUGUUAGCGAGGCUAAGGACCUACCAGGAGGUUGUGUGGAGGUGUGGUACUGGGAACCUAUAUAAGAGGGAGAAGACAUUUACAGUGCAUUUGCAACAUAUAUGAAAUACGUGAAUAAGAACAAAAUAAGAUACACCUGACUUGUGCUCAUGGAACUCCAUCGUCAGAGGUGUGGGCUAAAAUGCAACUGUAGUAGGGAAACAAAGGCAACCAGACAGUAUUAGUAAGUGCAUACUCGCCUUCACGUACCAUUUCAACAGAGGUAUAAUACACAGUAAGUAAUAUAUACACAUACAGCAUUAGUGAGCACAUACUCACCAUCUUAUAUCAUUCCAGCAAAAGGUAAAAUUCACAGUAGGUAAUGUAUACACAUACAGUAUUAUUAAGCCCAUACCAUCUCAUACUAUUACAACAGUAUUAGUGAGCACAUACUCACCAUCAUGUACCAUUCCAAUAAAGGUAUAACACACAGUAGGUAAUGCAUACACAUACAGUAUUAGUAAGCACAUACUCACCAUCUCGUACCAUUCCAAUAAAGGUGUUACACACAGUAGGUAAUGUAUACACAUACAGUAUUAUUAAGCCCAUACCAUCUCAUACUAUUACAACAGAGACAUAAGACACAGUAGGUAAUGUAUACACAUGCAGUAUUAGUGAGCACAUACUCACCAUCAUGUACCAUUCCAACAGAGGUAUAACUCAUAGUGGGUAAUGUAUAAACAUACCAUAUUAGCAAACACAUACUCGCCAUCACGUACUAUUCCAACAGAGGUAUACCACACAGUAAGUAAUAUGUACACAAACAGUAUUAGUGAGCACAUGCUCUCCAUCAUGUACCAACCCAAUAAAGGUAUUAUACACAGUAGGUAAUGUAUACACAUGCAGUAUUAGUAAGCACAUGCUCACCAUCAUGUAUCAUUCCAACAGAGGUAUAACACAAAACAGGUAAUGUAUACAUAUACAGUAUUAGUGAGCACAUACUCACCAUCAUGUAACAUUCCAGCAGAGGUAUAACACACAGUAGGUAAUGUGCACACAUACUGUAUUACUGAGCACAUGAUGACAUACAGGUCUGUUCAACAGGAUGUGGAAACAUUCACGUGACAUCCGUGUACAUACUGCCCAGAUGUACAUGUGUAAGGAACAUAAGGACAUGAAUAUCAUACCUUACAAGUAGGGUACACCAUGCUGCUGCCUAUAAAUCUGGUAGCAAACCAUCCCUGCUCUUUCUGUAGGUGCACCUAUAUGGCCCAUGACUUGUGAGGUCUGUAGGUAACAAUGGCAGGGAUAUAUCAACAUGUCAGUAUACACCAUUGUCGUGACAAUUGGCAGAGACAAUAAUAGUUAUUGAUCACAGUAACAGUAUACAGAGACACUCACAUAACAUGUGUUGCUGCUGUGCAUUUGUGAAUUGACCUAUAUAAAUGAAUAAAGACAACCCUAUACAUGUUGCUGGAAGUGUUAUAUAUGUGACACAUUUGUACAAUGACAUGCCAUUAUAUGCUGGUUAUCAUCAGCAUGUGUGCUCCCAUGUUCAUGGCACAGUUCUGCUGCUGGAACUCAAAAAUAACACUACAUGAAUAUGUGUGAAACAAUGAUACUUAAUGAUUUAGUGUACAUACAGCAAAGUUCAGAAAAGUAUGACAUACAUGUAUAUCUUGGAACACCUGCUUCUAUACCUCCACUUAGUAUAUGGUGAUUGCAACUGGUGGUAUUCAGAGAUGCCAGGAACACUGUUAUCUCUUCCAGGGGAGUCAAUAGCAAGCCACCACCAGUGGCAUUCCUCAACGUCUUAUACUGGCGUAUACCAUUGGCUGUGUGAAGGAUAAUGUCAGAACGGCGUCACCAACAAGCCUCCCUAUGUGGUGUACAUGUGCAUUUGCAAUGUGUCCUCUUAGUGUUGGCCUGCUUUAUUGUUUGCCUACUCUGCUUUGUUGGCAUUUCCUCCUUGACGUGGGCUUGUGUUGUCCAACUCCCUACCCUCUUUAAAGGUUUGGCAUAUAUCUUGCACAUGUGUAUGUUAUACAUUAACUUUCUUUUGCAUUAUCAUCCAAUAUCAUAUAUUUGUAAUGUUACAAUGCCACCUUGUGUCAACCCUUUUGCUAUGAUACACUUUCAGGACAUAUGCAUACAAGUUGCUGGCUAUUGCUUGUGCUACAUCCUUGUUCCUGUUAUACUUGUUACAUAUUACCCAGAGGAUUUGGUCAUAGUUCACGUGCAUAACCUGACAUUCCUUAUAUAGCAUCAUUCAUAAAUCUCCUACCAUUUAUUAUUUUAUAUCAUUUCUAUGUGAAUGUGUAUUGACGUUUUUUGAUAGGUUUCUGUCAGACCAAUAAAGGUCACACAUAUAAAUCUACACCUCUGUGUUGCCUCUGAUGUGGCAUAUGUUUGUGAUAUAUGCAUCCCAUUUCACGUCUAUCUGAGUUCUGUACACCUACUUGUGUAACAAGCAGUUAGUUUGUUGCUUUGCUGCAGUAUUGCUGUUUGGCACUGUGCUUGGUUGUUUGCCUUUCACAUACAUGGUUGAAAGUUCUGUUCUGUGCUCUGCAGGUCUCCUCCAGAAUUUAAUUUGCUGCAAUUGCUCAUCCAUGCUGUUGCUUGGCUUAUACUUGCACUGCUAACAGACUAUGUGGGUAUUGAAUUCCAUAUCCAAUGUGUAUUGUGAUCACUAUUUCUUCCCCUAUGCCACGCACUUGACAUCAGUCAUAUACAUUCAGGUAUGACUAUCACACAGUUUGCAACAUGUUAGAACAUCAUAUUGCAUAGAAUUAUAUGUAUUUCUGCAUUUCAUCAUGGCUGAUAUGCAUCCUUACCCUGUUUGUCAAUUUUCUGUUGCCCAUGUUGUAGAGUGUGCUGUACCUUUCCUUUAUGUUUAUAUAUGACUAUUGUCUGUCAUGUCUUGUGAGAUCUGUUAUAUGUGUUUACCUAAUGUUUUGCCCUUCUACUCCAUUUUUCCCAUAUUUUCCUUUUUUCUAUUCUCUGAAAAAAUUAAAAAAAUGGGGCCUAUUCCUUCACCCCCCCCCAAAAAAAAAGAUUGCCCAUGCCCCUCUGACUGUCGAACAGAUUUUCCUAUUCCAACAGGUGUCGUGUUUUCCUCUUCACCACCUGCACCCCACAUCUGGUUUUCUGUUUCCCUAUUUCCUUGGAUGUGUGCAUUACUUGUGUUCCCCA